CUUAUAUAAUGUAGGAUUAAUCCCCACGCAGCAGCCUUUUUAUUGUGUGUCUCUCUUAAUAAUUUCUCAAGCUGCCACCUUAUAUUUUUUCCCAGAAACUCCAAUUUUUCUUGGCUGCCAACAAUUGUAUGUUUUUCCCCAGGCUGCCAAUAUGCGUGGCUCCUAUAAUUAAGCAGCAGUCAGCCUUUUUCUAUUUAUAUAAAAUCUCCAUAUUCAGAAGCUAUAUUCCCUCCUUGCUUGGCCCGUUUCUGUGUGUAUAUAUUUAUAUAUAUCCAGCCGCAAAGACUCCAAUUCUUCUCCUUUUCUCUUGCCGCCAAUUUGUAUGUAUGUGUGUCUCUCAAUUUUCAACCUUCAGCUGCCUCUUUUUUUCCUUCCAGAAAAUCCAAGUUGCUGCCUUAUUAAUUUUCCCAAGGAGACUAAUUUUUGCCUAGGUUCUUCUCUCCCUUUUUUUUUU
rnacentral:lncRNA from 1 species